rnacentral:piRNA from 1 species
UGACAGUGCCCUGUGAACAUGCCAAUU